rnacentral:rRNA from 1 species
UCCGACCUCAGAUCGGACGAGAUUACCCGCUGAAUUUAAGCAUAUUACUAAGCGGAGGAAAAGAAACUAACAAGGAUUUCCCCAGUAACGGCGAGUGAAGCGGAAAAAGCCCAGCACCGAAUCCCUCAGUGUCAUGCUGACGGGAACUGUGGUGUGUGGGACGCCACCAGUCGCAUCGGAGGGUGCCGAAGUCCUCCUGAUCGGGGCUUCACCCAGAGCGGGUGUAAGGCCUUUGCAGGUGCUUCUCCGUGCGGCCGCGAGCGUCUCAGGAGUCGGGUUGUUUGGGAAUGCAGCCCAAAGC